UCUGUUUCUUUUUUCCAUUUCUAAAGAGAGAAAGAGAGAACAUAGAAAUGGGUUUUUUCAUUCUCCUCUCGUUUCUGUUUCUUCUUUCAGUUUCUAGAGAGACAGAGAGAGAACCUAGAAAUGGAUUCUCUUCAUUCUCUUCUCGAUUCUGUUUCUUCUUUCAGUUUCUUGAUAGAGGAACAGAAAAAACCUAAAAAUGGGUUCUAAGACCGGCAAAUAAGGAACCCCUUACUUCUCUUCUCGGCUAUGUUUUCUUUUACAAUAUUUAUUGAAACCUGCAAGCCAUGUAGAGAGAGAGAGAGAGAGAGAGAGAGAGAGAGAGAGAGAGAGAAGCAUAAAAGAACAGAGACAGGUUAGUGUUCAAAAAUUACUAUUCUCCCACAAGCAACCACAGAAAAUCUUCAUAUGAUUAGGUGUUUAGAAGGGGAACGGUGAGAUGGUUGUGGCGACAAGCAUUACGCGUACCUUGACCACAUAAAGAAUGGAACUUAGCCAAAGAAAAUGGACUAAAUGACAGCAUUCCAUAUUCAGAAGGGAGUCAUGAUCAGCUAUUACAAAUGGUGGUUGAACUGAAACUUCAGAAUGAGGUGUCGAAGUCUCAGUUUAAUGGAUUGAAAAAUCUUCAAGCAGAACAUACUAGGGCUCUCCCAAAAAGUGUGGCAGGUGGGGAGGAAAGAGGUGACUCUGUGGAGGUGAAAGAUCUCCUUGGAAAGGGAGAAUCUUUGAGUAGGGAGCUUUAGGAAGAAAAACAAAUACGAACUGCAGUAGAGAAGGCUCUGAAGCAUCUUCGAGAGGCACACUGGGAGGCAGAUGCUAAAGUCCAGGAACUAUCUACCAAACUUGCUGAAGCUCAACAUAAAUUGGAUCAAGAUGAUCUUGAGGCCCGAUUUCAUGAAGUGAACGAAGCAGCUGAACGAGCAUAAUCUCAACAGUCCACUCUGCAGCAAGAGUUGGAGCGCCCACGGCAGCAAGCAAAUGAAGCAUUGAAAGCAAUGGAUGCAGAGAGGCAGCACUAGAACCUGGACUCCGGGACAACAUUGAAGAACUGCGUCUCACUGCAACCUAAAGAACAUGCUCUCGAGGCAUUACAGCAGUCACUUUUGGAGAAGGAACAGGUUUUGGAAGACAUGCGAGGUUUAUUGCAAGCUGCAGUUGCUGAAAUAUCUGCUAAACAUCAAAAGGUAAUCCAGCACUAACAUGAUGCGAUUUGGUUCUUAAAAGAAUUGAUCUUCCUCCC